rnacentral:tRNA from 1 species
UUACUGGUAGGUUAUAUUUAAACUGGCAAAUUGUGGUUUUGUUGAUUACAUUUUUUUUUAAGUUGUA